AUUGAACGCUGGCGGCAGGCCUAACACAUGCAAGUCGAGCGGAUCGGCGGACGGGUGAGUAAUGCCUAGGAAUCUGCCUGGUAGUGGGGGAUAACGUCCGGAAACGGGCGCUAAUACCGCAUACUAUCAGAUUCGUCUAGGUCGGAUUAGCUAGUUGGUGGGGUAAAGGCCUACCAAGGCGUCGGUCCGUAACCGGUCUGCGAGGAUGAUCAGUCAAACUGGAACUGGGACCCGGUCCAGACUCCUACGGGAGGCAGCAGUGGGGGAUAUUGGACAAUGGGCGGAAGCCUGGUCCAGCCAUGCCGCGUGUGUGAAGAAGGUCUUCGGAUUGUAAAGCACUUUAAGUUGGGAGGCGUUGCCAACAGAAUAAGCACCGGGUAAAUUCGUGCCAGCAGCCGCGGUAAUUCC
rnacentral:rRNA from 1 species